AUGAACGCUAGCGGCAGGCCUAAUGCAUGCAAGUCGAACGAGAUUAAGGGGCUUGCUCCUUAUGAAAGUGGCGCACGGGUGCGUAACGCGUAUGCAACCUACCUCAAUCAGGGGGAUAGCCCGAAGAAAUUCGGAUUAACACCGCAUAAAAACACAGGAUAGCAUUAUCUAAUGUUCAAAUAUUUAUAGGAUUGAGAUGGGCAUGCGUGUCAUUAGCUAGUUGGCGGGGUAACGGCCCACCAAGGCGACGAUGACUAGGGGAUCUGAGAGGAUGACCCCCACACUGGUACUGAGACACGGACCAGACUCCUACGGGAGGCAGCAGUAAGGAAUAUUGGUCAAUGGAGGCAACUCUGAACCAGCCAUGCCGCGUGCAGGAGGACAGCCCUCUGGGUCGUAAACUGCUUUUAUUCGGGAAUAAACCUAUUUACGUGUAAAUAGCUGAAUGUACCGAAGGAAUAAGGAUCGGCUAACUCCGU
rnacentral:rRNA from 1 species